rnacentral:rRNA from 1 species
UGAACAUUGACCCUACAUGUGUAGGAUAGGUGGGAGGCUUUGAAGCACGUACGCCAGUAUGUGUGGAGCCGUCCUUGAAAUACCACCCUUGUAGUGUUGAUGUUCUAACGUCGACCCCUUAUCGGGGUUGCGGACAGUGCCUGGUGGGUAGUUUGACUGGGGCGGUCUCCUCCCAAAGAGUAACGGAGGAGCACGAAGGUGGGCUAAUCACGGUUGGACAUCGUGAGGUUA